rnacentral:rRNA from 1 species
UAAGGUGGUUAUAGCACGAGGGAUCCACCUCUUCCCAUUCCGAACAGAGAAGUUAAGCCUCGUCACGCCGAUGGUACUGCUAUAUUGUGGGAGAGUAGGUAGCCGCCGUUUU